GGGGGGGGGGGGGGGGGGGGGGGGGGGGGGGGGGGGGGGGGGGGGGGGGGGGGGGGGGGGGGGGGCCAGGAUCGGUUCUGUGCCGGGAUCGGUUCUGUCCAGGAUCGGUUCUGUUCCAGGAUCGGUUCUGUCCAGGUUCGGUUCUGUCCCAGGUUCGGUUCUGUCCAGGAUCGGUUCUGUCCAGGAUCGGUUCUGUGCCGGGAUCGGUUCUGUCCAGGAUCGGUUCUGUCCCAGGUUCGGUUCUGUCCAGGUUGGACAGUGGGGAACCCGCGGGGGUGCCCGGCUCUGUCCUUGUCAUCGGUACCGCCCUCUGGCCCGGGAUCGGUUCUGUCCCAGGUUCGGUUCUGUGCCGGGAUCGGCUCUGUCCCAGGAUCGGUUCUGUCCAGGUUCGGUUCUGUCCCAGGUUCGGUUCUGUCCAGGUUCGGUUCUGUCCAGGAUCGGUUCUGUCCAAGUUCGGUUCUGUCCAGGAUCGGUUCUGUCCAGGAUCGGUUCUGUCCCAGGAUCGGUUCUGUCCAGGUUCUGGUUCUGUCCAGGAUUCCCGGGAAAUUCGGAGGUUUUGGGAAGGGGAGGAAGGCUGGCUCCUGGUGGAAUUCUUGGAAAGCCGAAUCCUGCUGGAAAUCCGACCUUGGGCGGGAAUUCCCUGGGGGCUGGGUCAGUUUUAUUCCCCGAGCAGGACAGGGGGUGCGGGGAUGGAUUCCUUCGGGAAAAGUGGGAUUUCAUCACCUCGGGGUUUUUCCCAGCUUUUGUGGUCCUGUGGUUCUCAGGCUCCUCCUCAAUCCCAAAGGAGAUCCCGGUUCCUGAGCCAGUGGGAGCGAAAAUAAAAAAGUGAUGGAUCCCUCCAAAAGCUCUCCCUGGCAUCCAGGGGUCGGAAUUGGGAUGGGAAUCGGGAUCGGGAUCGGGAUCGGGAUCGGGAUCCAGGGGUCGGGAUCGGGAUCG
rnacentral:lncRNA from 1 species